GUUAACUUGAGAAUCUACACUUGUCCCCUCUUGAUGCGCUUGCAUUUGAAAAAAUCUAGCCCUAUCUCUAGGGUGUAAUUUUAUGUGCCUAGUCAAACUGCCUGUGCCGCUACGGUCUCCAGUAAAUUUAUGAAUCGGUAAUUUCCCACAAGUUUUACACUUAGCCUUGUUGUGUUCUCUUACUUGAAUAAAAAAUGCCAAACUAAUGAUGUUUCUUGACGUUUAGCAGGUUGUCUACUAAAAGUUGGAG
rnacentral:lncRNA from 1 species